AUCUAUGUAUAAUCGUGGAAGUCUCCUUGGUCCAUUGCUUGAUCAAGGGUUAAUUAAUGCUUCUACACCCAGAGGUUUGGGGUUCGAGUCCCAGAUACUGCGAUUUAUUAAUAUAUUUACAGAUUAUUGGAGGUAAGUGUGCAUGAGAUUUCCAACGAUUUACAAUUAUAGCCGUUUGCCAGGAUUCUACGCAGAGAGGGAAAUGUCCAUCAAGAACAUGAAGAAGGAGGUGAAGGAGGUAAGCAUGAAGAAGGAGGUGAAAGAGCUGACGUCUGUCGUGGAUCUAAUAAGAGUCGGAAGGAAUUGUCAGUUGUAAAAUCGUCUAUGUAACAGUUCUCAUAAUUUGCAAUAAAUAAUAAAUCUAGAGGAAAAAAAAAAUCUAUGUAUAAUCAAUAAAAAUCUCAGGUUUGAUUCCCAAAUCCAC
rnacentral:lncRNA from 1 species